UAGGGAAUCUUCCACAAUGGACGAAAGUCUGAUGGAGCAACGCCGCGUGAGUGAAGAAGGGUUUCGGCUCGUAAAACUCUGUUGUUAAAGAAGAACAUAUCUGAGAGUAACUGUUCAGGUAUUGACGGUAUUUAACCAAAAAGCCACGGCUAACUACGUGACAG
rnacentral:rRNA from 1 species